rnacentral:rRNA from 1 species
UACGUAGGGGGCAAGCGUUGUCCGGAUUUAUUGGGCGUAAAGAGCGUGUAGGCGGCCUGACAGGUCUGCUGUGAAAACUCGAGGCUCAACCUCGAGAUGUCGGCGGAAACCGUCUGGCUAGAGUCCGGAAGAGGAGAGUGGAAUUCCUGGUGUAGCGGUGAAAUGCGCAGAUAUCAGGAAGAACACCCGUGGCGAAGGCGGCUCUCUGGGACGGUACUGACGCUGAGACGCGAAAGCGUGGGGAGCGAACAGGG